UCUUAAUUAAUUGUAUGAAAUAAUUUUAAGUGUAAACUUUAGAGUUUAAACUGUUACUUAAUAAGUUUCUACAUAUUUAAAGCUGACUUCUACAGUUGCGGUGCUGUGGGUCAUGAGUAGUUGAUGCUGGAGUGAGUGAGGACCAUAGACUGUAGGACGAGGACGUCCCGUCUGGUGAAUGAAGUUCCUCCGUCCUUGUGAAGAGACAGAAGUGAGGGAAGCGACAUGUUAGCGUAAUGAAAAGCAGCGUAUGACGGCAGCAACCUCCUCAACAGCAACUGUACUAUGUUCCCCGUCAGGUAGAACAUGUGUGCCUCAGGUCACACUGGUGAUGCUCAACAUACUAUGAAGUGAUGAUUAUGAGGUAGAAAUGUAUCACUGUGGUUUUUAGUACCAUGGCUGAUCUGCAUAACAGCUACAGUUCAUAUGGCUGUAAGAAGUGAUGGAGGUAAAUAACACUGACAGCUCUGUCUGCUGUACAGUUUGAUGUGAAUGUUUGGAUUGUUACGUGUGUCGUCAUCUUGGUGUUUAUUAUUGCUGUUAUAAUAACAGGCAAUAAUUUCAAAUAUCAUUUUCAUGUUGAUGUUUCACAGUCAGGAACAUCUGAGAUGUUAUUUGAUAGUUGAGAUGAGACAGCUGAGUGUGAUUCUACGCUGCUGAAUAAAACUGCUGUGACUUUAAAUUGAUUCCAAAAUGAAGUCUGUUUGUGAACUAAAAGAACAAGUUUACUGCCAACAGAACACACACACACACACACACACACACACACACACACACACACACACACACACACACACACACACCAGAGGGAGAAUCAUAGUGCUCUGAUGUCAUCAGGUGGGGACAAUGAUAUAAUAUGAUGAGAUUUGUUGAAAGAUUCUAUGUUUUAUUCUGUUGGAAUAAAACUGCUAUAAUUCAACAUGUGAUGCUGUAAGUGAUGUUGGUGUUUAAGUCUUGUUCCAUGUGCCUCUUUUUAACGUUGAACAGCUGCCCCUCUACAGGUCUCUGCCCUGGAUAUGAGACUGAACGGCAGCCAGUAGCUAACGUUAGCUAUCUGGAUAACUGCUCCUUCCUACAACAUGCUCUCAGGAAACAUCUGCAGAAGCCUCCAGCUGCUGGAGAAGGAACAUCUGAUCUCCCAUCUACAGCAGGUAAUGCAGUUAUGUUGUUUUCAGCUUCCUGCUGCCUGCAGAGUUUAGAGACCUUCACUGCUGCAGUUUGAUCAACAACUUUACUGCCUUGUAUCAGAGCUGAAAUGAGUUUAAAGAGUCAAACACUUACUGUCUGCUGAGACACAGGAGAGGAUGAGGAGCAGC